UUGACGGGGAGCACUACAACGGGUGGAGCCUGCGGUUUAAUUGGAUUCAACGCCGGAAUCUUACCGGGACCGACAGCAAUAUGAAGGCCAGGCUGAAGACUUUGCCGGAUUAGCUGAGAGGUGGUGCAUGGCCGUCGUUAGUUCGUACUGUGAAGCAUCCUGUUAAGUCAGGCAACGAGCGAGACCCACGCCCACAGUUGCCAGCGUACUCUCUGGAGUGACGGGUACACUGUGGGGACCGCCGCUGCUAAAGCGGAGGAAGGAAUGGGCAACGGUAGGUCAGUAUGCCCCGAAUAUCCCGGGCUACACGCGAGCUACAAUGGUUGGUACAAUGGGUAUCUACCCCGAAAGGGGACGGGAAUCUCCUAAACCCAUCCGUAGUUCGGAUUGUGGGCUGCAACUCGCCCACAUGAAGCUGGAAUCUGUAGUAAUCGUGUCUCAAAAUGGCACGGUGAAUAUGUCCCUGCUCCUU
rnacentral:rRNA from 1 species